GUUAAUGGAUUUUAUCAGAAACUUGGUUAUACCUCUACAUCUAGAGCCGGGUGCACUUGUUUUGAUUCAGGCACCAGCCUCCUUCUAAAACUACGAAACUGAAUUUGUAUCCUCUUUGGGAUUAAAAAUAUAAAAUAUUCCAAAACAUUGUCCUUAUUUCAGAGAUGGAGCAGAAAACCUUUUGACGAUGAGUUCUCUUGCAAAAUAUUGUGUGUUAGCCAGUGACGGAACUGUUCUACUUCACCUUUUGAAAGGUGGCAGCCCUACAAAUCUAUCGAAGACUCCAUCCUAGAUCUGCAAAUUGUAACUUUCAGACUAUCGGAAAGUUGUUCAGCAGCAUUGUAAAUCUCCAAACGGGCACCCGCCCAGAACUUUGCAGGCUGACAGGUGUGCAGUUGAUUCAUAACUUAGCAAAUAUGCUGACAUUUUUUCUGCCGUGCGGAAAAAAAUCCCCCUCUCUCCCCUUGUGUCCUAACCUAGUGACAUUCCUGUCAACGCAAAGGGUCAAAGAAAGGAACAUUUACGUUAUUUACCACUCCUUAAAGCACAUAGGAGAAAGAGAAGUGUCUGUAGUAACUUGCUUCACCAACUGUACGGAAAAUUCUGUAUUUUUUUUGUUAUUGGGAAUGUGAAUAAAUACUUAACCAGCUUCAAUGGACUUGAA